rnacentral:lncRNA from 10 species
UGGGCAACAACGGCAAAACCUUGUCUCUACUAAAAAUACAAAAAAUUAGCCGGGUGUGCUGGCAUGCGCCUAUAGUCCCAGCUACUCGGGAGGCUGAGGUGGGAGAAUCAACUGAGCCUGGGAGGUUGAGGCUGCAGUGAACCAAGAUCACACCACUGCACUCCAGUCUUGACAACCAGAGUGAGAUGCUGUCUCAAGAAAUAAAAAAUACAAAUAAAAAAUUUGUUAAAAAAAAAGUAGCACCCAGCACCAAAGAGGAAAUAAUGAUUUCCUGUAGACAUAAGGCUAACCAGUGUUUAUAAUGAAAAGAUAACCUCCCUUCAGAGUCCUCCCAAGCUUAGGUGAAUUGUGAGCAGGAGUAGUGAAUUUCAAAAUAAUACACCUAGAUUACUCUAAGAACAAAUAUUUCUUGUACUUAAUCGGAUCCAGCUACAACAUCACUGGAAGUCAUUUCUUACCAAAAAGUAUCUCCACGGCAAAUUCUGGUGGAUAUCUCUCUUUCUUUUGCCCACAAGCCUGACCAACACGGAGAAACCCCAUCUCCACUAAAAAUACAAAAUUAGCCAGGCGUGGUAGUGUAUGCCUGUAAUCCCAGCUACUUGGGAGGCUGAGGCAGGAGAAU